ACGACAUCGGACCCUAGCCCCAAUCCACAGCCCCACGCCCCUCACUCCUCCCUCCCUCAUCCGCCGCCGCUCCCUCCCACCUCCUCCUCCUCCUCCUUCUGCGCCAUAGGAGCCCCGCCGCCGCUUGCUACUCCUCCACCACCUUGCCUCUUCCUCCUCCCCGCCUUCCCAUCGCUCGUGUGCAGGCCAUCGUGGACACGCACUUCGCGGGCGAACCCGAUCUCCAACGCCUGCUCCGGGUUCGCGCUGGACGGGCUCCCCUGCAUCCUCCUCCUCGCGGCCGAGGACGACGCCUCCGGAGUGAGCUGCGGCGCUCGAUUCGAUCUGCGGGAGAGAGAGAAGAUGAGAGGGAGAAGGUGGAAGGAGAGAGAGAGAGAGAGAGAGAGAGAGAGAGAGAGGAAAGAGGAGAAGGAGGCGCGACAUCGGAUGGGAGAGGGUCACCGCCGGCCGACCGGGAGGACGGAGACGGCCCUCAUCCCCGCAGUGCUACCGUCUUCUUACGCCAGUCAUGGCCUGGACGAACUCACCCGCACCAGCCGAGGAGGUGGCAUGACGUGUGUGUGAGGUAGUGCUGGAUCAUUGGGGGUGAAGCAGGUCUCCUCGACGGGUGCUACAUCUGAGGUUCCACUGCGAGAGGAGUUCGCCGACAGCCAUGAGCACCCAGGCGGUUGACGGCGACGGUGGUGGGGAUGUCCCCAAGCUUACCAGCCUGCCUCCUUCAUGCGUGGUUGCGUGCAGCCUCGGAUCUCUGAUGCGGAUCUGAAUUUGGAUAGGUUGCCUGCUCAAUCUGUAGAAUUGAUUGAAGAUGAAUCCUGAAGUUGACAAAAAAGAGUGGAGUGGUGCCAUAGAGCAGCACGCAGGCAAGGGUGGGGGUCGGGUCAAGGCUGUUGUUGGCGGCCUGGAUGCAGGCGAUGGUGGCGGCCGGCGGGGGUCUGGCGGGCGAGGGAAGGAGCAGCAAGGCUGGUGAUGGGCCAAGCGCCACCAGAGGAGGGUGAAGGAGCGACUUCGUGCUUCGCAACAACAGUUCGUGUCCAUGAAAAAUUUGCGGUUGUGAUGAUUGAUCUAAGUAUCAGAUUGGUUAUAUGGAAAUGGGGCUUUACUUCCGGAGAUGUUCCCAAUGAAGGAGCUUCGAGGCGAGCACUGCAAUGAUGUAGUUUUGUAUAUGGCAUAAUCUGUAGGAACCCUCUCUUAGUUUCUUUUGUUCUUCGUUUCACUCCUAUUGAUUAAUGCCAAUUAAUCUAGCUAUUUUCGUUGUACCCAAUGCCAAUUAAUCUAGCUAUUUUCGUUGUACCCACGUGCCAAUAUCUGCACACACAGAAUUCGUGCAGAUUUGUUUAGCUGCGGCACGUAUCACAGCUACAAUAGCAAUCUGGUAAUUAGUGCUCAAAUAAGGUACUUUUCUUCUCCCCUUUACAUAUCAUGGAUAUAUGUGGUGGUUGCUUGACAUUGCUGAAGCGAGGACUCUAAAUGUAUUUUUUUGUUCUCCCUCAUUAUCUUAGUCAGGCCGUAUGUGUUCUGCUGGUCUAUUUUCAUUUGUCUACUUUUAUAGAAUUUCAAAGAUAUAAUUUCCUCUCAUGUAGUUGCCUCGUUCUUCAUAUAUAUAUACUAACCCUCUCCUAAAUGAUAGAUGAGGCAGGCGAUCUCUUUUAUUUUCCUUUCUGCAAUAGACCAAUAGUAUUUUAGUCAACUUCAGGGUAUGUUAAAUAUGACAGUUAAUGAAGAUGAUCGUUCUUUCUUUUAAGAGUACACAAUCUGACUCAUUUUAAAAUAGCACCUUAUCUUUAUGAAAACACUAAGCUGCUACUUUAGCAAGUGUUUUACUUCAACACAGAUUGCUGCAGGAAAGAAAGUUUUUUUUGCAAUAAAGCAAGCAUUGAACGCACUGAAGUGUCCGAAGAAGAAGAGCUUGAAUUUUUUGCCGACGUAAAUUUAAGGUAACCUUAUUCAUGCAUAUGUUGUUUCUUUCAAACAUUUGUAUCUAAAUAUCAAUACUCAUUUUGAACUUGCUCAGGCCGGCCUUUUAGUUUGAUGUUAUUGGUGUGGUCUGUGUAUAAUUAUUAACAUUGUUGCGAUUUUAGUGAUAGCUCGUCACACAUUACAGAAACCUAUUUUCCAUUUUGUGGCUCUAUGCUUGUCUGUGCCUAGGUACAGCUAUAGCAUGGUGAAGGAACACUACAGGCAUUGAACAAAGAAAGGAAGAAUGAUGGUUAGAACCACUGAGAUACUGAGUCCGGCCAACUAGAUGAGUGUCAGCAGCGUAUUUCUUCAUUGGAAGAGGACAAUAUCAGCCGGUUCAUUGAUCAAAGUGGUGGGAAGCUCCCGAAAACACCCUUUCCAAACAGAAUUUAUUUUUGAGAUCUCUUUAUUUUUCAUCAUUAUGAAGGUUGAUUUUACCUGUUUCACUUGAAUGGUGACCUUCCCACACUCCCAAUUUUUGCUUAGGAUUCUCGUUUAAAUGGUGAGCGCUCACAUUCUGAAUGUCGGAUCUUUAGUACUGUUUAUUAUUUUAAGAAAAUAUGAGUAAUGUGAUUUUGUUCUCUAGAGACUGGAAUUGAAUAAUAGGUCCUUUUGGUACUGUCAUCUUACCAUUUGUUCCUAACAGAUGCAUGGGUUCGACUAUGCAUUAUCAUAUGUUUUGUUUCAAAGGUAAUAUGCCCUAAAUCAUUUACUGAACUUUCAGUUCUUUUUUGGAACCAGGCGAGUAUAAACAAUUUGUUAUCUGCCAUCCUAAAUUGUUUCCCAUGCCAUCCAUGUAAGUUUUAGUACCUUUCCAUGUAGGUAGUGGGCGAUCAAGUGUGUGCAUUUCAUGACAUAAAUUUACUUUGUUUUGUUUCAAAGGUAAUAUGCCCUAAAUCAUGUACUGAACUUUCAGUUCUUUUUCGGAACUAGGUGAGUAAAAACAAUUUGUUAUCUACCAUCCUGAAUUAUUUUCCAUGCCAUCCAUGUAAUUUUUAGUACAUUAUACUUAGUUUGGUGUAUGAGAGUAGUUUGUAACUGAAGAAUGGCUGCAACCGGUUCAGUGACUAAGAUUAUUUCAGGAAUAAUGUACAUUUGGUGCUCCCAGCACUUAAUUUUGGACGUUGAAUACUACUCUUGCUUUGACAACUCACUGAUUUUAUUAGGAAACCUUAUUUGUUAAUACUUUCUUGUCAAACUCACAACAAGUUAUAAUAAUCAAACUAUAUAGUGAUGUUGAGGGAUUAACCAGGACAAAUGCUAGCCAACGUCCCAUUGAGUAGGCCUUCCCAGGCUCCUUGAGUAGCUGGCUCCACUGGAUACAUAGCCGAUUACCUUAUGUGUGGUUUCUUUAAUCACCGAUUGGUUAUUGAGAAUCCGAAUCUGCGAUUAGUAUGCAGUAGUAAAGAUGUUUCUGUUUGCAAAAGAAAGCAAGUUUAUGUACUUUGUCUCCACUGCCAGCAUAGAAAAAUUGUUUAUGUUGUAUUGCUGGGAUAAAUGUGUCUUAUACGUUGUUUUGUUCUUAUAGUCACAACCGAGAUAUUUGUGGUGCUUGAUUUCUUCCUAUGUAUUUGUUUUCUUUUUCGUGAUUUCCUAUAUAUUUGUUGUAUAAACUGAACCUAAUUAACGUGUGUAAUGAUGAAGCACGUUGGGUGCAGAUGAGGAUGAAAUGAGCCAGGGAGAAAUAUUGCUGGUAGAAAAACAGGCCUCCCAUGCCAUCCUGACCAAAAAUGUAUUCCCCGAUUUGGUUAAACAGUCCUGUAUUAGCCCCUGGCUGCCUCAACUGGUGGAUGCCGUCGGCUGCCCAAUGACCAUCAACACAUAUGAGCUCGGUUUAAGCAGAGGUGAGGCCUUGCUUCUUCUGCAGUUUUCUUCUCUUCUUUUGUGUGGAUUUGCAUCUAGCAAAAUUGAAAUUUCAUGGUGGGUCAGUUUGGAGGCUUCAUAUUUCACAAUUAUUAUUGUGUGGUUCACCCUAGAAUUUGAUUUUAACGCGUGCUUGCGCAUAUUUGGUUAGGAUUGUCAUGCUUGUUUUUAUAUGUAAUUGCUAUGUUUCAAGGCUACUUAUUUUAUUUAACCCAUUAUUGGCCAUUUGAAAAUAAUUUUGGCAUUGACAGUUGCUAAUUACAAAUGCUUAUCGUUGGUUACCGUGUAAUUCUUGCUUGGUUUUUGGUGUGAUUUCAUCUUAGUUUAUACUUGUGUAUGGACCACCCACGUUUUGUGAAACAAUAGUACACCCAAAAGGAGAAGUUGUUGAGAUGAUAGUCAUGACAACCUAUAACACAGGCGUUGUGCUUGAAGCUCAUGAGUAAGAAGACAAGAAAAAACCAUGCUAAAGAUGGAGGGAUUCGCAGAAAAUGCAUAUGAAAAAAAUCACUAGAAAAUCUACCUUCACUACAUUUUGGAGUGUAGAACAUGGACCAUAUGGGUCCAAGUAGAGAACAUAAAUAUCCACUGCUAUUUCUAUUUUCAUCAGUAAAUUUUGAUAUUGUUUCAGACAAUAGAUAACCUAGGCUUCGUAGCUGGUAAUAUUUAUCAUAGUUUUAGUCUAAUGUACUUUUCUGUAGCAGUGCUGCCAUGAAGUUCAGUCUACAAAUCUCUGUUGUGUAAACAUAGUGCUGAUCUGCUGAACUAAAAUUAUGGCCCUGCUUACCUGUGGUGCUGCACUUUACAACAAUUCUACUUGUUCUUUCAUAGCCCACCUUAUGUGUGCCAUCUUCUACUCUUCCCUCCAUCUCAAAAUAAGUUCUCAAGUUUGUACUAACUUUAGUACGAAGUUAGUACAAACUUGAGUCACUUAUUAUUGUUCCAUGGUUUUUUUAGUUAUUGAUGAUGCCAUUUUUCUUUCUGCCUUUGUAGCUGAAAGAUUAGUGAGACUGACUAAAUUCUGAACAUGUUCCAUGUGAGAGAAAUAGCAUGUUGAUUUCAUCUUGAAAUAAUCAUAGCUGAGGGACGAGUCCGUAACUGAGGGUCAUGUGCAGAGCUGGAGGAAGAAGUUGCGAGGCUUGGAACUCUAACAGUAGUGAGGACAAUGCCUCUUUAGUUGUAAUUGUGAUACUCCUGAUGUGCAAGUAAACACUCCUGUGACACUCCUUAUGCUAAAAUGUUGGUUGUUAGUACAGAGGUGGUAACAUUAUUUGGUUCUCUUGUAUUGAUUUCAUAAUACAUGAUGUAAUACAAUCCACAUUGCAUUAUAUUUCAAGUUAUAUCU